rfam:Capsicum annuum cultivar Zunla-1 chromosome 3, whole genome shotgun sequence
UUCUGGAGGCAGCGGUUGAUCGAUCAGUUCCAUGUAAAGCUAUAAACUAAAUAUAGCAAACUGGAAUCGAUCGAUAAACCUCUGCAUCCAGC